rnacentral:rRNA from 1 species
GUGAGGAAUAUUGGGCAAUGGGCGAAAGCCUGACCCAGCCACGCCGCGUGAGUGAUGAAGGCCUUCGGGUUGUAAAGCUCUGUGGGGAGGGAAGAAAAAGCGCAGGAGUAACUGCCUGUGUGUUGACGGUACCUCCUUAGCAAGCACCGGCUAACUCUGUGCCAGCAGCCGCGGUAAUACAGAGGGUGCAAACGUUGCUCGGAAUUACUGGGCGUAAAGCGCGUGUAGGCUGACAUGCAAGUCGGGUGUGAAAUCCCAGGGCUCAACCUUGGAACUGCACUCGAAACUGCACGUCUUGAGUACUGGAGAGGGAAGCGGAAUUCCGGGUGUAGAGGUGAAAUUCGUAGAUAUCCGGAGGAACACCAGUGGCGAAGGCGGCUUCCUGGACAGUAACUGACGCUGAGACGCGAAAGCGUGGGGAGCAAACAGGAUUAGAUACCCGGGUAGUCC